ensembl:lncRNA
GAAGAAAUGUAAAUAAUUUGUGGCUGUAGGAAAGAUGGUAGCAGAGAAACCAGAUGACCUUGAAAGUUCAGCCUCUUUAUCAGGAUGUCUGCCAGACAUAGCUGUACAUUGUCACUGUGUAUCUGAACCCCAAUGGUCAUGUGAAGAAAAGCCCCAUAAGCUGAUUGCCCAAUCACUUGGAGAGACAGGACCAAUUCAUCUGCAGAAUGAAAUAGCAAAUAUUGCUGUAAGGAACAUAUCCCUAAUAAACAAAACAAAGAAAUCCAGCUGGUGCAAAGUAAGCUCGAAACUCCAGGGCCUGCAGAACAAAAUGAAAGCACCCACUUCAGUAGAAGCUGCUUCCCAGAAACUACUCGAGAAAUAUAAACAGGCUAUAUACCAUCAUGUGAUACUUAAUGUAAUGGAAACAGCAGCACUGUCCUGUCAGGUCUCCGGUCACCUACGUGCUUUUGCCACUUCUGUGUUGACUCAGCUGAGACAAGCUCAUGGUGCCAUUCUAGUGGCAGCUAGUGGCCAUUCAGCUUCCACAGAGAAAAUGAAAGUGGAUCACUCAUUCUCCAACUGGGAGAGACUGGAAAAAGCAGAAUGCAGAGAAAAGAGAGUUUUCAGAGCAUUAAAAAACAAUGCUAGACUGUUGUCUCAAUCACAUCACUACACGCACAUGUACUGAGAAUUCCACACAUAAUUUGGGGUAAUACUGCCACUGCCCUGAGGGAGCUCUCCAUCCAGGAUACCAGCUCGACAUAUGCGUUACUGCAGAUUUCUGGUUGUUUGUGCUAAUGUAUCCAGUGUAGCAAGGGCCACAGAUUGAUUUUACUCACAAUGACCAAUUUGGAUAUUUCUGACUUCUUGUAUAAUUUUUCCUCAUUGUAUUGCUUUCAAGGACCCUACUUCAACCUGUUUUCAUUUUCACUGCUUUUAUUCAACUGCAAUAUUGCUAACAUUUGAUGAUGAAAUGAUCUUUUUCUUAAAGCUGGAAUUUACCGAUUAUCCUUUGAGAACUGUCAGCUAACUGACAGCAGCUUUACCCAAAGCAUUCAGCUCUCUGAUUCUCCAUGAGUCCCAAGAGGUUCUCCAGUUUCUUUGGUGAUUACAUGAAGAGAUCCUUCUUGAACAACCGAUGAUUACAGCUGCUUUGGUGAUUACUCUAGAGCUGUGUUGACAUUCAUAGUCCUUAGCUUAGCAAAACUGCUGAACCACCUCCAUCCUGUCAGUAUUUGGCAGAGAGUAGGUCAAAUGACAUGAACUCUAACAACUCAUAUGUAGAUUCACUUCAUAUAUAUCACAUCACCCUUAUCCAUUCAUCCAUAAAUAGACAUUUAGUUGGUUUCCAAGUCUUGGCUAUGAUAAAUAAUGCUGCAAUGAACAUGGAGAUGUAGGUUUCUCCUUGAGAUAGAGUUUUCAUUUUCUUUGGAUAAAUACGCCCAGGAGUGGAAUUACUAGAUAGAAUGGUAGUUCUAUCUUUAAUUUUUGAGGAGCCUCCAUACUGUUUUCCAUAGUGACUGCACUAAUUUACAUUCCCACUAACCGUGCACAAGGGUUUGAUUUUCUCCACACCCAUGCCAACACUUGUAAUCUCAUCUUUUCAAUGACAACCAUUCUAAAAGGGGUGAAGUGAUAGCUUAUUACGGUUUUGAUGUGCUUUUCCCUUAUUAUUAGUGCUGUUGAGC